rfam:Brassica rapa chromosome A6, whole genome shotgun sequence.
CUUAAGGCCUUUUUCAAGGCCAUUAACACAAAACAAGAUGGGCCU